rnacentral:lncRNA from 1 species
AGUGACUGCAAGGACAACGUUGCUCUCCCGCCUUCCGCGCUCACUGACACCUAAACCCUUAAAUGACCCCUACGUUAGGCAGCAACUGCUUCCUGCUUUAUCUGAAGUCCUAGAGCGACAACUUGAGUUCUCCAGGAUAAACAUCCACUUCAAAAGCAAAAAUAACAGAAAAAGAGAAUUUUAAACCCAAUGAUCUGCAAAAAAACAUAUACCCGACAUUCCCCAUCUGGAGUCUACUCGACAUUUCAGAGUGUGUGUGUACAAAUCUGGUUCCACUUUUCUUGUCCCAAACAUCCCCCAUUCACAGCCUUAAACACCCCAAUUAAUAACACACCAUUAUCACCAUCCAGGUUCCCCAGGGUUCACCCUAGUAUCUUCUUAAUUUCUUUCUCCUCUAUGCAACAAAGUUCGGUACAACCUUCUACCUCAAUUUUCAAAGUUCUAAUGAAUGUGUAUUCUGAUCUCUACCACCUUUCCUACCGUGAUCAUGGUCCAAAGCAUUACAACCCU